rnacentral:misc_RNA from 1 species
GGGCCUUCCACCAAGGCGCAGGGAAGGCCAGGAUUAUGCCGCUGCAGCUGCAGGAGGGGCUGGUAAUAAGUGGCAAGAGUUCUCUUUCUCACAAGGCAGGCAAGGAAGCAGUGGGGGCCGAACAGGGUAUAAUGCUGGUAGAUUUGCCUCGUCAAGGGACAGAACUGGCCAGGCACGAACUCAUGGUGGUCGAUAUCAGACAAAUGCAGCUGCUAAGGGAGGCCAUAAUAUGGAUGGAUCUCGCAUGGUGAAUCUUAACAGGGGUAUUCGUGCUUAGUUAAGUGGAGCAUACAAAUUUUUGCUGUGAGAGAACACAACAUUUGACACACAUCCCAAAUAAUCAUUUUUCAGACCUUUAUUUUGUAGUAGUUUAGAAUUUCGCUAGUUGGUAUCCAAACAAUCGUACAAAGUAUUCUGUUGAACCUUUCUAUAGUGAAAGUCUCAUCCCAUUAAACUAGGACUUUGUUCU